CAGAAACACAGUAGACAGAGCUCGUGCAGUACAUCGGUAUUGUUUACAGUAGGUGACAUGAGGAGUUUGAAAGGCGGAGAGAGGAAAGAAAAGGAUAAGAGACGACAGAAGAGGGAGUCAGUCCAUCCUUUCGGAAAGCUUUCGCCUCCAUGAUCGGAGAGGGACUGGAGGAGUGUGUGGAGGAAGGGGAAAGAUGGAAAGAUGGAUUGGAGAGACACUGGAGAGGAGGAUGGAGACGAUGAUGAUGACAGUGACGAUGAUGAUGAAGAAGAAGAGGACAAUGACAGAAAUCAAGUCACACCUGGAGAUGUGUUCGCCCUUGAAAUGGAGCUGAACCGUGAGAACAAGAAAAUAAUGAUGGACUCUUCAGCUGCCCAGCAGGAACUGAAGCUGGACUCUUCUGCCUGCUCAAGGACGCACUGAUGAUUACAUUGAUACUGUAUUGACCUUGCUAUCCAUGCUCCAUAAGGUCAGAAUCGGACUUCAUGUCUAAUAUAAAGAGAGCAGUGUGUGGCUAGUGGCAAGUAUAAUAUGAUAUAUACAUAAUGCAAUUCAAUACUGGCAGAGAUGUACACAAAUUGGUAGAAAUUAUAAUGUUCACUACUGUUCAGAAGUUUGGGGUUUGUUAAGAUUUUUAUUUUUUUUAAAGGAAGACACUUGUGCUCACCAAU